rnacentral:misc_RNA from 1 species
UCGUAACAAGGUUUCCGUAGGUGAACCUGCGGAAGGAUCAUUAACCUUUCAAAACAGGGUGCGUCGCGGCCCCCGAGGUGCGGAAACAAGCCUCGAGCGGUUUGGGGUCCUCCCCUUCACGCGCGCACGACUGCCAUCCUUACUUUACGAGCACCUUCUGUUCUCCCUCGGCGGGGCAACCUGCCGUUGGAACCGAAUAAACUCUUUUUGCAUCUAGCAUUACCUGUUCCGAAACAAACAAUCGUUACAACUUUCAACAAUGGAUCUCUUGGCUCUGGCAUCGAUGAAGAACGCAGCGAAAUGCGAUAAGUAGUGUGAAUUGCAGAAUUCAGUGAAUCAUCGAAUCUUUGAACGCACAUUGCGCCCCUCGGUAUUCCGUGGGGCAUGCCUGUUCGAGCGUCAUCUACACCCUCAAGCUCUGCUUGGUGUUGGGCGUCUGUCCCGCCUCCGCGCGUGGACUCGCCCCAAAUUCAUUGGCAGCGGUCCUUGCCUCCUCUCGCGCAGCACAUUGCGCUUCUUGAGGGGCUCCGGUUCGCGUCCAACAAGCACAUUUACCGUCUUUGACCUCGGAUCAGGUAGGGAUACCCGCUGAACUUAAGCAUAUCAAUAA